ACUCGUCCACGUUGGCAUUAACACAAAGCCAUCUGGAAUUAGACAUUGCGCUUUUUCUCUUAUCUUUUGCUUUUGUUUUUCUUUUCUUCUCUCUUCUGAAAAUUGCUCAUCUUCACAGACCAAACUUCUCCACGAAUCUUUUUCUCCGAUCUCGGAUUCGAAAUCUGAAUGGGAGAGGAAGUGAGGAUGAGCGAUUACGAUGUUUCCGGCGACGGAGAUAGGGUUCUUGAAUGGGAGAUGGGGCUACCUAGCGACGACGAUUUGACAUCUCUUUCUUACUCUCUGAUACCUCCGAAUCUCGCCAUGGCUUUCAGCAUAACUCCAGAGAAAAGCCGUACGAUCGAAGAUGUGAAUCGCGCAUCGGAGACGACGUUCUCGUCCCUGCGCAGCGGAUCUUCAGGUCUCAACACCUCGUCCUCUAACAAUAACAGCGUCGCGGCGGAGGAGGAAGAUCGAGUCGGAUCGAGCAGUCCCGGAUCGGAUUCGAAGAAACAAAAGACAUCCGGCGAUGGUGUGGAUCUCUCAACGGCAACGGCGGCGGAGGAAGGAGAUUCGGGAACUGAAGAUCCUACUGGGAAGACACUGAAACGACCGCGUUUAGUGUGGACGCCGCAGCUACACAAGAGAUUCGUGGACGUUGUGGCUCACUUAGGGAUUAAGAACGCAGUGCCGAAGACGAUUAUGCAGCUGAUGAACGUCGAAGGAUUGACUCGAGAGAACGUCGCGUCUCAUCUCCAGAAGUACAGGCUGUACCUCAAACGGAUGCAGGGGUUGACGACGGAAGGUCCGUCUUCUUCCGACAAGCUCUUCUCCUCGACGCCUGUGCCUCCACAGAGCUUCCAAGAAAUCGGAGGCGGUAACGGUAACGGCCAAGGGAACGUAUCCGCCGGUGUGCCGAUUCCGGCGCCCUACGGAGGGCAGCCGAUGAUGCAGAUGCCUGUCUAUGCCCAUCAUAUGGGUAUGCAAGGGUAUCAUCACCAGAGUCACGGUCAUGAUCCUUAUCAUCAGAACCGUCAGCAUCAUCAUGGAGCUGGAGGGUUCGAAGCUAAUCCAUAUAUGAUGCAGCAGAACAAGUUCGGAUCCAUGGCGUCUUACCCUCCUGUUGGGGGUAGAAGUGCGCAUGAGAAUUAAAAAGAAUCGAUUUGAGAUGCUACUUGCUGUGAGUUUAUACAUCGCAGAAGCCAUUUUUCUCCCCUACGUUUUGCUUUCCUCAGAAUAAUCCAUUUCUUCAGGUUCUUGACUUGUGUCCGCAUCAAUAUGUCUUUUAUGUUUAGCCGAGUUUUUUAACCAAGUCCGCAUUGCAUCUACAUAGGAGAGAUCAUACAACAUAUCAUGUCGAAGCUAGACCAAUGAGCAUUCUUGGAACACAGUGCAUACUUGGGGACUUCUGUCAGGUUUCGUGUACUCAUUUUCUAGAUUGUGAGGUAAGUCUCUCAUGUCUUGUUUCUUUGCUUUGUUAAGGGUUUAUUUCUUUAAGAUGGCGUCAAAACACAAUCUUCAUGUUUCUUUACUUUUCAAUAUACGAAUCAGUUUAAUCUUUUAAAAGGAGAGCUCAUUUUUGUCCAAUCAAAUUGUCUCACAUAUGACGACCUUUUCUUUUCUGUAAGUAAUAACCUUUCAUUGGACUGGAGAGCCACGUACCAAUGAACUUCCGACACAAGGGAGAAAGUGACAUUCCAACAAAAGCGAAAACUCUUUUUUUAUUCUUUCUUGCUGACAUGAGUUAUUGGUUUCAGCUACGUAUGGUUCUACUUUGAGAUCAAU